rnacentral:rRNA from 1 species
AUUGAACGCUGGCGGCAGGCUUAACACAUGCAAGUCGAGCGGAGAUGAGGUGCUUGCACCUUAUCUUAGCGGCGGACGGGUGAGUAAUGCUUAGGAAUCUGCCUAUUAGUGGGGGACAACAUUCCGAAAGGAAUGCUAAUACCGCAUACGUCCUACGGGAGAAAGCAGGGGAUCUUCGGACCUUGCGCUAAUAGAUGAGCCUAAGUCGGAUUAGCUAGUUGGGGGGGUAAAGGCCUACCAAGGCGACGGUCUGUAGCGGGUCUGAGAGGAUGAUCCGCCACACUGGGACUGAGACACGGCCCAGACUCCUACGGGAGGCAGCAGUGGGGAAUAUUGGACAAUGGGGGGAACCCUGAUCCAGCCAUGCCGCGUGUGUGAAGAAGGCCUUAUGGUUGUAAAGCACUUUAAGCGAGGAGGAGGCUACUGAGACUAAUACUCUUGGAUAGUGGACGUUACUCGCAGAAUAAGCACCGGCUAACUCUGUGCCAGCCGCCGCGGUAAUAC